rnacentral:lncRNA from 1 species
GAAGCAGGAGCAGAGAGAUGAGGUGCUGGCUUUGAAGAUGGAGGAAGGGGCCGUGAGCCAAGGGAUAUGAGUGGCUUCUAGAAGCCAGAAAGGGCUAAGGAAUGGAGCCCCCAGAAGGAGCACAGCUUUGCUGACAGCUUGAUUUUAGCGCAGUGAGACCCAUGUUGAACGUCUAUCCUACAGAAUUGUAAGACAAGAAAUCUGUGUUGUUUAAGCAGCUCAGCGGUGGUGAUCUGUUACCGCAGCCACAGAGAAGGAACGCACGUACGGAUGUAGGCACUGCGAUGGUUUGGAGAGACUUUGUUUCACAAAUGUCCACUGAUGGUGCAGAGUUAUAAAUCUCAGAGAAGUGUGAAAUAUACAGGAAUCACUCACACACCUUUCAUUUGUGCCUUAUGCUGUGAAGGCCUGAGGGAAACUGAAAAUGUUGGCUUUGCUGCUGACUUGAACAUCGACUCCACGUGGAAUCCCAACGCCGUCAGUCACUUACAACCUCCUGAAAUGGACACUUGCCCUUAAAUAAUGGAAUUGUGUUGCGUAAAUGCUUUUGUGCCCCUGAACUCAACUGAGUUAAGUAUGAUGUGUAAAGAAUUCUACAAAACCGUGCAGUUAACAAAUGAUGUUACAGCUUAGUAUCGGUGCUUAGAAAGCUUUGAGAGUUUUUAUUUUCAUAUUUUAAAUUCUUAACGAUCCCUCCCUCUUUCUUAUUAAAACAUU